rnacentral:snoRNA from 1 species
AUCCUUCUGACUAGUUCAGAAACGUGAUGAGUCGGGAUUCAUACACCGCAAUGGUGACGCGUGUGACGCCACAAUCAAUCUUGUUACGCAUGCGCACGUGACCCGUCUGAUU